UUUUCGGACUUAGCCCGCCUGCACCCAGGUGAAAUAAACAGCCUUGUUGCUCACACAAAGCCUGUUUGAUGGUCUCUUCACAUGGACGCAAGUGAAACAAUCCUUUGCUGAUGAAUUCCAUUUAGAGAAGUAUGGGAGUCUCACUCUGUGCCAGGCUGGAGUGCGGUGGUGCGAUCUCGGCUUACUGCAACCUCCACCUCCCGCGUUCAAGUGAUUCUCCUGCCUCAGCCUCUCAAGCAGCUGGGACUACAGGCGCCCACUACCACGCCCAGCUAAUUUUUGUAUUUUUAGUAGAAACGGGGUUUCACCAUGUUGGCCAGGAUGGUCUCGAUCUCUUGACCUCGUGAUCCACCUGCCGCGGCCUCCCAAAGUGCUGAGAUUACAGGCGUGAGCCACUGCGCCUGGCCAAGAAGAUAAUAGUAUUUCUUACUAUUAUUUAUUACUAUGUAAUGGCAUUGGUAGGAGAUCCAGACUGGAUGGCACCUCCAAUUAUCAGGAACCGGAGCCCCCUUCUUUUGGUUCUACCAUUCUCAACUUGUUGCUAUCAUUUCAUGGUCCUAGAUGGCUGCCCAGCAACUUCCACAUCAUAUGCAUUCCAGCAAGAAGAAAUGAAAAAUGCAGGGAGAGGGGUUAUUUAUCCUAACGUUAAGUCAGGACCAGGAAGUGGCCCUUGGCACUUCCGUUUAUGUCUGAUUGGCCAGCACUUAAUUGCCUGCUGCGCCUGGUUCUGUGGGAUACUGGAACGUUAGGCUUUAGCUGGGAGGCUAUGCAAGAGUUAAAAUUCCAUUUUCCGGGAUACGAAGAGAAUGCUUUUUGGAGGUACAAUGAGCAAUUGAACCUCAUGAACUAAUAAUGCAUCACAUUUUCUUUUUAAAGAUAAUAACUCAAGGUACACAUUAAAAUUUAUUUGUAAAAGGUGUUAAAGUAAAAAUCCCCCUUAACAUUCCACUCCAUAUCCAUUUUCCUCCACAGACUUAAUCACUGUUAACAUUUUGAUGCUUUCUUCUUUGUAUUUUCAUGUAAUAACAUAUCAUAUUUACUACGCACCUAUUCAACUGCCUUUUUUAACCAAAUAAAAAUGUUAUUACAUAGUCUGGUUUUUCAUUUAACUAUAUGUCUUAGAGAUUGUCCUAUUUUGUUUUGUAUGGUUUUAUCUAAAUCUACUAAGCUGAUGCAUAGAAUUUGACAGUGUAGUCAUACCAUAUAUGAUUUAACUGGUCCCCAUUAAUAGACAUUUAGGCUGUUUCUAAUUUGUUUGCAAUUCAAAAAUUUAUUUCACAAAGAUACUGAAUUUUAUGACCAGAGCCUGUGUUAUAGUAAACUGUGGGUAUAUUUCUAUGGAAUAGAUCUAUUGAGAGCAGUUUAUGCAUCAAAGUAUAUAUUCAUUUAAACAUUCUUGCAUAUUUACUUUUUCAUGAGAACUUUGG
rnacentral:lncRNA from 1 species